CAAAGAAUAGUUUAAUAAAAAUUAUAAUUUUGGAGAUUAUAGAUAAGGAGAUUCUUUUUCUUUGA
rnacentral:tRNA from 1 species